GGCAGUUACUGUUUAACCACCACAGCCCCAUUAUGACUGGAUCCGUUUCAUGCCUACAGGCAUAAGUUCUCCGAUAGUAAAGGAGAGAGCGAUAGAUGGCGCUUAACCAAGGACGAAGAGAGAGGAACAGUCUUAUUCCAGGACAUUUAGUUACAGAAGUUUGCCUGUGCUGAAACGCUUGGGAGCACAAUGAUUACCCAGGUGACAACUAUAAACUUAUUCUCUCCGUUGGCAGCCUCCGUCUCCACCCCAGCCUCUGACAGAGUGUAAACACAACAAGACAAAGUAUUAUCAUAUUACAUUGGUGCCAGGAUGGACUGAUUGGUGUUCGUUAGUGGACCUUAAUGCCAGGAUUCUUUCUUGGAAGGGCUGUGUGUUGUAGAAUGGCUCAAUGUUCGAUAAUCACAGGGUGUUCUAGAAUAUCUGACUGUUCUAGAAUGUCUGGGUGUUCUUUCUAGAAUGUCUGGUGUUCUUUCUAGAAUGUCUGGGUGUUCUUCCUAGAAUGUCUGGGUGUUCUUUCUAGUAUGUCUGGGUGUUCUUUCUAGUAUGUCUGGGUGUUCUUUCUAGUAUGUCUGGGUGUUCUUUCUAGUAUGUCUGGGUGUUCUUUCUAGAAUGUCUGGGUGUUCUUUCUAGAAUAUCUGGGUGUUCUAGAAUGUCUGAAUUUUCUAGAAUGUUUGGGUGUUCUAUCUAGAAUGUCUGGGUGUUCUAGAAUGUCUGAAUCUUCUAGGAUGUCUGGGUGUUCAAUCUAGAAUAUCAGUGUGUUCUAGAAUGUCUGAAUCUUCCUGGAAUGUUUUCAUUGUCUAGAAUGGUUGGAAAUUCUGGAACAGCACUAUUUUGUAACAGUGAUGUGGAUCAACUCCCUGUCUCCCUGUAACUGCUCCCUAUAGCAAAAAUUUGAAUACAUCAGUUAGUUGUUGAGUUUUGUUGAGAUUACAUAAAUACAUUAACUUCUAAUGCUGGACAAGACCAUGAUGUUGAGAGAGUUAUCACACAAACAUCUUCAAACACCAACAACUCUGUUGACGUAACCAUGAUGUAAUUAUAUUAGAUAACAGCCUUUAGAAAGACUUUGACAUUAAACCAAGAGUUACUUAACUGAAACAGCAGUCUUUGGACAACAUUCAAUAACAAGCUGUUGUGAAUAUUUGUUUAUUUGCCAUCUUUCUGAUUGGGGUCAAAAAUUUGCUCAUUUAAACAUUUCAAAAUCUUUCAUCGGACAGAUGCUUUAGACAACUUUACUUAAUUAAUGAAUGAAUCCUGCCAACUAUAGAACUGUCAACCAAUGAACCGCCACUAAUUAGAUGCUGAUUAAAACAGUUUGGACAGAGUCAUGAUGGAUAUGGUAGAUAUAUGCAACAUCCAUUCCAUGGGCCUCUAAACUUCAGUGUGUGUUUGU